UACGUAGGGGGCAAGCGUUGUCCGGAAUCAUUGGGCGUAAAGCGCGUGUAGGCGGUCCGGUAAGUCCGCUGUAAAAGUCGGGGGCUCAACCCUCGGAUGCCGGUGGAUACUGUCGGGCUUGAGUACGGAAGAGGCGAGUGGAAUUCCUGGUGUAGCGGUGAAAUGCGCAGAUAUCGGGAGGAACACCAGUGGCGAAGGCGGCUCACUGGCUCAUAUCUGACGCUCAGGCGCGACAGCGUGGGGAUCAAACAGG
rnacentral:rRNA from 1 species